rnacentral:rRNA from 1 species
CAGCAGUCGCCACGGUAAUACGGAGGGUGCAAGCGUUAAUCGGAAUUACUGGGCGUAAAGCGCACGCAGGCGGUCUGUCAAGUCGGAUGUGAAAUCCCCGGGCUCAACCUGGGAACUGCAUUCGAAACUGGCAGGCUAGAGUCUUGUAGAGGGGGGUAGAAUUCCAGGUGUAGCGGUGAAAUGCGUAGAGAUCUGGAGGAAUACCGGUGGCGAAGGCGGCCCCCUGGACAAAGACUGACGCUCAGGUGCGAAAGCGUGGGGAGCAAACAGGAUUAGAUACCCCUGUAGUCCCUGUCUCUUAUAC